rnacentral:rRNA from 1 species
AGUGAACACUGGCGGUAGGCCUAACACAUGCAAGUCGAACGGCAGCACAGGAGAGCUUGCUCUCUGGGUGGCGAGUGGCGGACGGGUGAGGAAUACAUCGGAAUCUACUCUGUCGUGGGGGAUAACGUAGGGAAACUUACGCCAAUACCGCAUACGACCUACGGGUGAAAGCAGGGGACCUUCGGGCCUUGCGCGAUUGAAUGCGCCGAUGUCGGAUUAGCUAGUUGGCGGGGUAAAGGCCCACCAAGGCGACGAUGCGUAGCUGGUCUGAGGGGAUGUUCAGCCACACUGGAACUGAGACACGGUCCAGACUCCUACGGGAGGCAGCAGUGGGGAAUAUUGGACAAUGGGCGCAAGCCUGAUCCAGCCAUACCGCGUGGGUGAAGAAGGCCUUCGGGUUGUAAAGCCCUUUUGUUGGGAAAGAAAUCCAGCUGGCUAAUACCCGGUUGGGAUGACGGUACCCAAAGAAUAAGCACCGGCUAACUUCGUGCCAGCCGCCGCCGUAA